GCACCACAUGUUAUAGCAGAAAGACAGAAAAAGACAAACAAACCCAUAAGAUGUAUGUGGUUUGGCCCAAGUACCUACAUCCACAGGACAUGCAAUGCUCCACUCACGAGAGAGAACAAAAUACAGAGGAGAUACUCUCAACUCUCAAAUCUCUCUCACAACCCAGAAGCACUCACCCAUACAAUGCUCUCAAAGAAUCCUAAGAAGGUUCUCUCACAGAUCUGCCAGUCUAGAGUUCUCAACACCUCUGGAUAUCCUAUGAUACUCUCAGUCGCUAUAUCAUACCCCAGCCUAUCCCUAGGCAACCCCACCAUUCCAGGACACUCUCGGCUGUAUGAUGCCCCUAGCGCUCCCUGAGACCCUUGGCUCUCCCUAAGAUCUGCUCUUGAUCUCCUUGAGAUGGCUUUGGCACUCCCAGCCUG
rnacentral:lncRNA from 1 species